rnacentral:rRNA from 1 species
UACGUAGGGUGCGAGCGUUAAUCGGAAUUACUGGGCGUAAAGCGUGCGCAGGCGGUUUUGUAAGCCAGAUGUGAAAGCCCCGGGCUUAACCUGGGAAUGGCAUUUGGGACUGCAAGGCUUGAGUGUGGCAGAGGAGACUGGAAUUCCUGGUGUAGCAGUGAAAUGCGUAGAGAUCAGGAGGAACACCCGUGGCGAAGGCGGCCCCCUGGGUCGGCCCUGACGCUGAGGCGCGAAAGCGUGGGGAGCGAACGGG